rfam:Aedes albopictus isolate Foshan contig60784, whole genome shotgun sequence.
UGUUCUGUGGCUUAGUUGGUUAAAGCGCCGGUCUAGCGAAUACGGAGUCGUGGGUUCAAAUCCCACCAGAACGC